rnacentral:ncRNA from 1 species
UUAUUCGCCUGUUUAACAAAAACAUGUCUUUUAGAAUUAUAUUUAAAGUUUGACCUGCCCUCUGAAACAUUAAAUGGCCGCAGUAUACUGACUGUGCAAAGGUAGCAUAAUCAUUAGUUUUUUAAUUGGAAACUAGAAUGAAUGGUUGGACGAAAUAA